UACGUAGGGUGCGAGCGUUAAUCGGAAUUACUGGGCGUAAAAGCGUGCGCAGGCGGUGAUGUAAGACAGGUGUGAAAUCCCCGGGCUUUAACCUGGGAACUGCAUUUGUGACUGCAUCGCUGGAGUGCGGCAGAGGGGGAUGGAAUUCCGCGUGUAGCAGUGAAAUGCGUAGAUAUGCGGAGGAACACCGAUGGCGAAGGCAAUCCCCUGGGCCUGCACUGACGCUCAUGCACGAAAGCGUGGGAGCAAACAGG
rnacentral:rRNA from 1 species